rnacentral:rRNA from 1 species
GAGAUGGAUUGGUGCCUUCGGGAACUCUGACACAGGUGCUGCAUGGCUGUCGUCAGCUCGUGUCGUGAGAUGUUGGGUUAAGUCCGUAACGAACGCAACCCUUGUCCUUAGUUACCAGCACGUUAUGGUGGGCACUCUAAGGAGACUGCCGGUGACAAACCGGAGGAAGGUGGGGGAUGACGUCAAGUCAUCAUGGCCCUUACGGCCUGGGCUACACACGUGCUACAAUGGUCGGUACAAAGGGUUGCCAAGCCGCGAGGUGGAGCUAAUCCCAUAAAACCGAUCGUAGUCCGGAUCGCAGUCUGCAACUCGACUGCGUGAAGUCGGAAUCGCUAGUAAUCGUGAAUCAGAAUGUCACGGUGAAUACGUUCCCGGGCCUU